rnacentral:hammerhead_ribozyme from 1 species
AUCCAGCUGACGAGUCCCAAAUAUGACGAAACGCGCGUAUUGAAU